rnacentral:rRNA from 1 species
AUUGAACGCUGGCGGCAGGCCUAACACAUGCAAGUCGAGCGGAGCGGCGGACGGGUGAGUAAUGCCUAGGAAUCUGCCUGGCAGUGGGGGAUAAAGUACGGGAACGGGCGCUAAUACCGCAUACUAUCAGAUGAGCCUAGGUCGGAUUAGCUAGCUGGUGGGGUAACGGUCUACCAAGGCGACGAUCCGUAACUGGUCCGAGUGGAUGAUCAGUCACACUGCAAAUGGGACACGGUCCAGACUCCUACGGGAGGCAGCAGUGGGGAAUAUUGGACAAUGGGCGAAAGCCUGAUCCAGCCAGGCCGCGUGUGUGAAGAAGGUCUUCGGAUUGUAAAGCACUUUAAGUUGGGAGGCGUUACCAACAGAAUAAGCACCGGCUAACUUCGUGCCAGCAGCCGCGGUAAUAC